rnacentral:sRNA from 1 species
AUAAAAUUUGUAAGUUUUAAUAUAUUACUUUUAAAAAAUAAAUCGUUCCGCGGUAUACCGCGGGUUAAAAUCUAGUAAAAUCUUUAUAUGAAUACUACGUGAUUUCGAAAAAGGUUUUAAAAUUGAAAAUACAAUCACACAUGAU